rnacentral:rRNA from 1 species
GAACUGUUAAGCUUGAGGCAAGAAGAGGGAAACGGAAUUUCCGGUGUAAGGGUGAAAUCUGUAGAUAUCGGAAAGAACACCAACGGCGAAGGCAGUUUCCUGGUCUUGUCCUGACGCUAAACUGCGAAAGCUAGGGUAGCAAACAGAAUUAGAUACUCUGGUAGUCCUAGCUGUAAACGAUGAGUACUAGGUGUCGGAUCGCAAGAUUCGGUGCCGCAGCUAACGCAUUAAGUACUCCACCUGGGGACUACGGUCGCAAGGCUAAAACUCAAAGGAAUUGACGGGGACCCGCACAAGCGGUGGAACAUGUGGUUUAAUUCGAUGAUACGCGAAGAACCUCACCGAGGCUUGACAUAUAAGAAGUAGUGAACCGAAAGGGGAACGAGUCGUCAAGUCCGACAACUUAUACAGGUGCUGCAUGGCUGUCGUCAGCUCGUGUCGUGAGAUGUUGGGUUAAGUCCCGCAACGAGCGCAACCAUUGCCCUAUGUUGCUACCACAUCUUAACCUUCGGGUAUGGAUGUGAGCACUCUUAGGGGACUGCCCGGGAUAACCGGGAGGAAGGUGGAGAUGACGUCAAGUCAGUACGGCCCUUAUGCCUCGGGCUACACACGUGUUACAAUGGUCGAUACAAAGGGUUGCCAACCCGUGAGGGGGAGCUAAUCUCUAAAAGUCGACCUCAGUUCGGAUUGGAGUCUGCAAUUCGACUCCAUGAAGUUGGAAUCGCUAGUAAUGGGAGAUCAGCACGCUCCCAUGAAUACGUUCCCGGGUCUUGUACACACCGCCCGUCAAGCGAUGG